GCCCUUGCCAUCUACAUGGUACUAUAAAUCUGGUUAAAUGCUCUGGCUGGGGGAAAAGAAAAACAAAACAAAACAACAGCAGCAACAACAACCAAAACCUCUGGCUGGGAGGUCAUAGGCCCUUAUAGGGCAUCCACUGCUGUCGUUUUGCAAAGCGGACGUGAUGCGCCUGUCUAACUGCCUUCUAGAUAACUUUCUGUCUAUAGAGUAGUGGUGCUUUCAGUUUUGGUCAGAGAACGUACUGUCUGCAGUGAUAGGCAGUGACUGCAGAGACAACUCUGGUCAGAGUUCUGAGAAUAAACCACUGAGGAUCCACACAAACUUGAGUUUGUGUCAACUCAACACUCUGUCGCGGAGGGUAAGGGAUUCAUGGAGUCCCACCCCAGCCUGAAGAUCUCUAUGCCGGUAAUGGUUGGCAGGGAAGGGAGAGAAGUCAUCUUCAGUGUGAGACUCUGGUAAGCUAUGCAUGCUCCCCUAAACUACCCUAAUGAAGCUCACUGGGAUUGAAAACUAAAAAAGACAUGAAAGUGGGAGGCAGGAGAUGGUUGGCAAGAGGAGAGGGGUUAGGUGUGAAGAGAAGAGAGGGUAAGACUGAAUGCGUAGUGUAAUCGGAAUGCAUUAACUACAAUAUGAAAAUGUCAUGUAAUCCAUUAUGUGUG
rnacentral:lncRNA from 1 species